UGGGGAAUAUUGCACAAUGGGCGCAAGCCUGAUGCAGCAACGCCGCGUGAAGGAUGAAGGGUUUCGGCUCGUAAACUUCUUUAGGCAGGGACGAAAAAAUGACGGUACCUGCAGAAUAAGCCCCGGCUAACUACGUGCCAGCAGCCGCGGUAAUACGUAGGGGGCAAGCGUUAUCCGGAAUGACUGGGUGUAAAGGGUGAGUAGGCGGUUUUGUAAGUCAUAUGUGAAAUCCCGGAGCUUAACUCCGGGACUGCAUAAGAAACUACAGAACUAGAGUAUGGGAGAGGCAAGCGGAAUUCCUAGUGUAGCGGUGAAAUGCGUAGAUAUUAGGAAGAACACCAGUGGCGAAGGCGGCUUGCUGGACCAAAACUGACGCUGAGUCACGAAAGCGUGGGGAGCGAACA
rnacentral:rRNA from 1 species